GGGAGUAAGGUGUGAGCCACCACGCCUGGCACAAAAUUUAUAAAAUAUGUGAAAUAUACAUAAAAGAGUCUAGAAAUACAAGGUGUCAUUCUGUCAUCUCUACCUGUGAUAAACCUGAAAAUAGAGGCAGUCCCACUGGUCCAAUCCUGACACUGCAGCAGGAAUCUCCAAGCUAGUCUUUGCCAAAGAAUGGGGCUCAAGAAGUAACCUAAGAUGGAAGAAGCCCAAUGAUCUAUCCGGAGUCACUCUGGUGGGUCUGAGCAGAGGCUGAGCAGAGGCUGGUCAGAGAGGCACUCUUACACCAAACCACUUAUAGCAGGAAGUCAAGCAACAAAUAUUGUUUGGGAGUAUCAGCUUCAUUCUACCAAUUCUAUUAGCUUCACCUUGACUUUCAUUCCUUUAGAGUCAAGGCCAUCUUUACUGUAGCACUAGGGUCUCUAAGAACUCAGCUAAGUUUACUCCAAAAUUCCUUAUUGCCUGUGGGCAGCAUCACUGAAGGCUCAGCUGUGCGGUCAUUUACCUUGCAUCUGUGUUCGUUUUUGCUGUGUUAUUCUUGGAUUCCAAUUAUGCUUAUAGCUUUUGAGACUUGAUUGUUUACUCCCACAGAAUAGUUUUCAGAUCAUAGAUGCAAGCUCCUCAAGGGAAGGACUUUCUGAAUUAUCUUUGUGCUUCCAGGACUUGGCACAGAGAAGCUAGCACAGAAUUCAGCAAAGUUGUGCUGACUCAUGUCUGUAACCCUAGCACUUUGAGAGACCAUCAUGGGAGGAUGGCUUGAGGCCAGGAGUUUGAGACAAAGGUGUGCUGCGUGAAAGAUUGGUAGCCAGUCUUCCUGUGUCAUGCUGAGGGAAUAUUUUGCUACCCAUAUAACAGACAUGGAGCAGUUUCCACCGGAUGAACUUAGACAAGUCAUCAGCUGCUAACGAGGCACCAGAGAAGUCCCAGUCAUAUCUACAUUUGCCUUCAGAUAACCUUUACAGGUUUGGAAAUUGCCAUGAUGAAAAUAGCAAAGUAGUACUGAGCUUGGGAGUUUUACCUGUCUAUUCAGGUGAAAACCACAGUAUCAAGAAGGAAAUGUUGGCAGCUGUAUGAAAACACUAAAAACCAAUGAUUUGCAUAUCUUCAAUGGAUGAAUUAUACAGCAUGUGAAUUUUAUCUCUAUAAUGCUGCUACCAAAAAAAA